rnacentral:rRNA from 1 species
AGGAAUAUUGGGCAAUGCCCGCAAGGGUGACCCAGCAACGCCGCGUGGAGGAUGAAUGUCGUAAGAUUGUAAACUCCUGUUAGAGGGGAAGAAUAGUACCGGUUGGACCGGUAUAUGACUGUACCCUCAGAGAAAGCCCCGGCUAACUACGUGCCAGCAGCCGCGGUAAUACGUAGGGGGCAAGCGUUGUCCGGAUUUACUGGGUGUAAAGGGCGCGCAGGCGGGAUAAAAAGUCAGUGGUGAAAUCCUACAGCUUAACUGUAGAACUGCCUUUGAUACUUUUAGUCUUGAGUUCGGGAGAGAGAGACGGAAUUCCAGGUGUAGUGGUGAAAUACGUAGAUAUCUGGAAGAACACCAGUUGCGAAGGCGGUCUCUUGGUCCGACACUGACGCUGAGGCGCGAAAGCGUGGGGAGCAAACA